rnacentral:snRNA from 1 species
GGAUAUGAGGGUUAUCUGGCUGCAACAUCUGUCACCCCACUGAUCGCCAGGGUUGUUUUGGCUGAUAUGGCUGGCUAGGCGGGUGUCCCUUUCCUCCCUCACUGCUCCAUGUGCGUCCCUCCCAAAGCUGCGAGCUCGGUGGAAGAGGACGACAUCCCAGGUAUAGAAGGAGUGUAUUAUUUAUUUAU